rnacentral:rRNA from 1 species
GACGAACGCUGGCGGCGUGCUUAACACAUGCAAGUCGAACGGCUUGGCCAACGGGUGAGUAACACGUUGGUUACCUGCCCUGCACUUCGGGAUAAGCCUGGGAAACUGGGUCUAAUACCGGAUAGUGUGGUAUGGGCCCGCGGCCGAUCAGCUUGUUGGUGGGGUAAUGGCCUACCAAGGCGGCGACGGGUAGCCGGCCUGGGAGGGUGGACGGCCACAUUGGGACUGAGACACGGACGAGACUCCUACGGGAGGCAGCAGUGGGGAAUAUUGCACAGUGGUCGGAAGCCUGAUGCAGCGACGCCGCGUGGGGGAUGACGGCCUUCGGGUUGUAAACUCCUUUCACCAUCGACGCGGUAGAUGGAGAAGAAGCACCGGCUAACUACGUGCCAGCAGCCGCGGUAAUAC